rnacentral:rRNA from 1 species
AUUGAACGCUGGCGGCAGGCUUAACACAUGCAAGUCGAGCGGGGAAGGGUAGCUUGCUACCUGACCUAGCGGCGGACGGGUGAGUAAUGCUUAGGAAUCUGCCUAUUAGUGGGGGACAACAUUCCGAAAGGAAUGCUAAUACCGCAUACGCCCUACGGGGGAAAGCAGGGGAUCUUCGGACCUUGCGCCAAUAGAUGACCCUCAGUCAGAUUAGCUAGUUGGUGGGGUAAAGGCCUACCAAGGCGACGAGCUGUAGCGGGUCUGAGAGGAUGAUCGGCCACACUGGGACUGAGACACGGCCCAGACUCCUACGGGAGGCAGCAGUGGGGAAUAUUGGACAAUGGGCGAAAGCCUGAUCCAGCCAUGCCGCGUGUGUGAAGAAGGCCUUUUGGUUGUAAAGCACUUUAAGCGAGGAGGAGGCUACCGAGAUUAAUACUCUUGGAUAGUGGACGUUACUCGCAGAAUAAGCACCGGCUAACUCUGUGCCAGCAGCCGCCGUAAUAC